GCCACGGUGGUCUAGCGCUAGUUAGAACGCUGGCCUUGUAAUCCUGGGGUCUCGGGUUCGAUUCCCGGCGGUGCCC
rnacentral:tRNA from 1 species